rnacentral:rRNA from 1 species
AUAAUAUAAGAUUUAACCUGCCCGCUGAAUAAUUGAAUGGCCGCGGUAUUUUGACCGUGCAAAGGUAGCAUAAUAAUUAGUUUUUUGAUUGAAAGCUGGAAUGAAUGGUUGGACGAGAAAAUUACUGUCUCUGAUUAAAUUUUUAAUAAAAUUUUAUUUUUAAGUUAAAAAGCUUAAAUGUUGUUAAAAGACGAGAAGACCCUAUAGAGUUUAAUAAUUUUUUAAUAAUAUAAUUUUAGGUAUUUAAAUUUUGUUUUUAUGGAAUUAUUUUAUUGGGGUGAUAAAAAGAUUAAAUUAACUCUUUUUUUAUUUUUACAUUUAUAAAUGAUUAUUUGAUCCAAUUUUUUUGAUUAUAAGAAUAAAUUACCUUAGGGAUAACAGCGUAAUCUUUUUAGAGAGUUCUUAUCGAAAUGAGGGAUUGCGACCUCGAUGUUGGAUUAAAGUUAAUUUUUGGUGUAGAAGCUUGAAAAUUGAGUCUGUUCGACUUUUAAAACUUUACAUGAUCUGAGUUUAAACCGGUGUGAGCCAGGUUGGUUUCUAUCUUUAUUUAAUAAAAAUAUCUUAGUACGAAAGGACCAA